GAGAAUCUUGAUUGAUAGCCACGCUGAAAAGAUCAUAAUGGAAUACAUGGGAUGUGUGAAAUAUCAUUGCUUAGAGAAUAUGUCCUGUGGAGUAUCUUGAUUGAUAGCCAGCUAAUGAAUUGCAUUUGUGGAGUAUUUCUUGUUUCUGAAGUUGGUAGACUUCUAUGGAAUGUUCAAACUUGUCUGAUUAACCUUGAAUUUGAUGUUGUUUUAUACUUAAAUUGUUGCUGAAAUGUAGCAACAAUUACACUACAUUAUUUCAAUGACACUCAAAAAAAAUCUUGGAGGGAG
rnacentral:lncRNA from 1 species